GCCUUGAUAGCUCAGUUGGUUAGAGCGUGGGGCUGAUAAUGCCAAGGUUGCAAGUUCAGUCCCCAUAUGGGACU
rnacentral:tRNA from 1 species